rnacentral:rRNA from 1 species
AGCGAACGCUGGCGGCAGGCCUAACACAUGCAAGUCGAACGAACUCUUCGGAGUUAGUGGCGGACGGGUGAGUAACACGUGGGAACGUGCCUUUUGGUUCGGAAUAACUCAGGGAAACUUGUGCUAAUACCGAAUGUGCCCUUCGGGGGAAAGAUUUAUCGCCAUUAGAGCGGCCCGCGUCUGAUUAGCUAGUUGGUGAGGUAACGGCUCACCAAGGCGACGAUCAGUAGCUGGUCUGAGAGGAUGACCAGCCACACUGGGACUGAGACACGGCCCAGACACCUACGGGAGGGAGCAGUGGGGAAUCUUGCGCAAUGGGCGAAAGCCUGACGCAGCCAUGCCGCGUGAAUGAUGAAGGUCUUAGGAUUGUAAAAUUCUUUCAACGGGGACGAUAAUGACGGUACCCGGAGAAGAAGCCCCGGCUAACUUCGUG